rnacentral:tmRNA from 1 species
GGGGGCGCUUGGAAUCGACGGGGAGCUGUAGAGACAAGAGUAGCGAGCCGAGUUCUCCGCCAGACUCGUUAAACGGGCGGAACGGCUACAAAUGCCGACUACGAUUACGCUUUAGCUGCUUAAGAGAUAAGUAGCUCGUCCGCUUCGGGCUUGUCGAUGGCUUGAAGAUCGGGCGUCAUGAGAAUCGACUACCGCUGUCCUGGCUCUCGGCGGGACUAGCGGGAAACCAAACCGGGAUAGUUGGCUCGACAGUUUGCCUAGCGUCGGUCGAGACAACGAAACUGUAAACGUUAGGCUGCGCUCGGAGAAGCUCUUGUUUGUACCUCUUCGGACGUGGGUUCGACUCCCACCGCCUCCACCA